rnacentral:rRNA from 1 species
UCAGGUGGCCGCAGAGAAUAGGCCCAAGCGACUGUUUACCAAAAACAUAGGUUUCUGCUAAGUCGCAAGACGAUGUAUAGGAGCUGACGCCUGCCCGGUGCUGGAAGGUUAAGGGGAUCUGUUAGAGCAAUCGAAGCAGGGAACUUAAGCCCCAGUAAACGGCGGCCGUAACUAUAACGGUCCUAAGGUAGCGAAAUUCCUUGUCGGGUAAGGUCCGACCCGCACGAAAGGCGUAACGAUUUGGGCACUGUCUCAACAACAGACUCGGUGAAAUUGUAAUUCCGGUGAAGAUGCCGGAUACCUGCGACAGGACGGAAAGACCCCAUGGAGCUUUACUGUAGCUUGACAUUGGGUCUUGGUACUACAUGUACAGGAU